rnacentral:rRNA from 1 species
UACAGAGGUCUCAAGCGUUGUUCGGAUUCAUUGGGCGUAAAGGGUGCGUAGGCGGAUUGUUAAGUCGGGGGGUGAAAUCCUGGAGCUCAACUCCAGAACUGCCUUUGAUACAGCACAUCUGGAGUCCGGAAGAGGUGGGUGGAAUUCCUAGUGUAGAGGUGAAAUUUGUAGAUAUUAGGAAGAACACCGGUGGCGAAGGCGGCCCACUGGUCCGGUACUGACGCUGAGGUGCG